UUCUGUUGUGAGGGCUGUGAUGAAGUAUGGGAUGAAACAUUUUGCAGUAGAUGAGAACAGGCGUGACACCUACAACCACUCAUCGACUUCUGGACAUGAGCAACGUACCUUUUCCACCUUGGAUGGAGAAUUGAAGCAACUAAUUCCGGUGUGUUUUAUGUUUGUAUAAUGGCAAUAACAGUUAUUAAUGCAUUAGUUAGAAGAUUAUUGUAUGAGCUGUAUAGCUGGAAUGUGUGAUCGACCCUAUACUCAUUGAGUGCAGGUAAGGAAUCCUAAACUUUUUGUUUAUUAAUAAACUGCAUACAAAGUUGUGGUGCAGGUAGGCUUGCGCUGGUAAUUUGUUAUGUUUAUAUAUCUAGCCAAAAGGAUGUUCAAGUAUUCUGACAACUAGUGUUUAUGGGGGAACAAUAAAAAACUAUCCAGAUCAGCGGCAGAAUAGAAUGCUCAAUCCCUUAUAUUGACUAAUUCUUUUUAUCUCCCUCAAUUUUAUUUUGGUCAAUUGUAUUGUUUAUCAGGUUGGUUUGACUGCAGGAAAUGGUAAGCCUUUUUUUCCCCUUUCAUUGUCCAUCAGGUUGGUUUGAGUGCAGAAAAUGGUUAUGCUACAAGCUUGGCACGUUUUGCUGCAAAUCUUGGACCUGUUGUGUGGAAAAUUGCUUCAAGGAAAAUUGAAAGUGUUUUGCCUAGUGGACUCAAGUUUGGUCCUGGAUGGGUUGUAGAAAACAGGACAGUUGAGCAGCCACAAUGUUCCUUAUCUGAUAAGCAUAGAACUCCGAAUUCUCUAUCUGAUAACCCUCCUGGCAGAUUUUUAUCUACAGCCACUUCUGGUUCAAACUCCAUUGCUGCAAGUAGAUUUCCUUUGCAAGGUAGAGAAGACAUGGAAACUGUCGUAGGCCUAACUUCUCAAAAUGACUCGACUUCUGCACCUUCUCAUCAGCUUCAGCAAAGUCUUGUCCCACACACGGGUAUCAAUGGUUCUAUUGGUGGGUUUGGGUUUGGUUAUUACUCUCAAAUGGGGUUGGUAACACAGUGUGUAAAUUCCUUGUCUGAAAAGACUUCAGUGCCGGCUCAAACACAUGUCAUGGUUUCGGGUGCUAGUAAUUCUCUUCCAAAAGAGGCCAAGCUGGCAGAUAGUUCAAUCACUUUACAUUCUGGAAAUGCAAUGGCUGUGGAGCCUGAAAUGGUGUCACAUGCGGCAGCAACUAAUGUCGGGCUUCAGCGGAGUUCCUAUAAUGAACCGAAUUUCCUUCCAUUUGCUCCUGAUCUUAAUGUGAGAUUUCUGGCACUGGGUUCACCUAGUUCUAGUGUGCCAAUUGGUUCAUCCCAGCGCCCUGAUUUAGCAUUGCAGCUCUAAUAAUCAGCCAACACGAUUUCCGUAUGAUGUGGCUUGUAUGUGCUAAUUGUAGUAUUAGGUCAAGUACGCCUGUAUAUGAUGAUAAGAUUUGGUCGAAUUUACUGACUACAUUCUUCAUUGGAAGGUCCGUUGAGUAGUGGUUCCUCAAGAAGUCAUAGGAUCAGAUUGUAGGUGAGAUUUUGUACAGAUUGGUAUGUCAAAUUCUUUCACAGGGUUAAAAAAUUACAGAUUUGUAUGCAACAUACGGUAUCUAACAUUGUAUAUUUUGAGUUGUUAAUGAAUAUUGUUACCAAUACUACUACUGGUAUUACGUACGAGAUAUCAUUCAUGUCAUGAAUUAUGAAAUGUUCAUGUUUGGAGCAAUGAAGUAAUGCUUAAACUAAUUGAUGCAAAAUAGAGAGCAACUGAUUGCUAAGGGGGGUUGAGUGAUGUUAUAUAAAUGGCAAUUAUAUAUACAUGCGCAUAUAUAAUUAUCUUUAUGUGCAUAUAAAAUUGUCUUUAAAAUUGUGUCCCAUUAUCUAUUAUUAACCAUUGGGAAAACUAUAUCAACAAAUGAUGGUUUUCCAUACAAAUAUCUCCAUGUGUCUUUGAUGCCUUUGGAAAUUAGAUCCGUAUAGGAUUACCUGUGUUGGUUUGUGAUAGGACAUGAUAGAGUCCAUGUGUCGCAUGAUUAGCGAAGUAUUCUAGCAAAUUAUAGUCCUUUGACGAGAUACAGAAAGUAUGACUUGGUAUCUUGAUGGACAAGAUGUGAGCCAUGCGAGGUACACUUAUGUCUGAGGUCUAACCAACUCCAACAUUACAUUUAACAUAUAAUUUAUUUAUGUAAUUCGUAUAACACAAAAUAUUAAAUAUUUGUAACAAUUUCUCUUAUUACAUAAAUAUUAUUAAUGUUGUAAUAAUUUGUGUAAUUAAAUAAUAUUUUAUAAGAUUACACUAAAUACUUUAAAAUUUAAUAUUUUAAUUACAAAAUAUUUUGGAAAGCUCAUCCUCUUAUUUUGUGCUCAAGGUAAAAGUAAAGUAAUAGUUUAGUAGUAUAAUGAUUUAUUUAGCUCUCUAAUUUCAUAAAAAAGUUAUUUUAGUUAUUUUUUUAAUUUUUUUUGUCUUUUAUACAUGUUGAACUUCUAUUUUUUUUAAAUUAUCCAAAAAUAGAUGAAAAAAUUAAUGUUAUUUAAUAUUACUGAUUUGGUAUAUACAUAGAUUGUCAUGUAGAUGAGAUGUUAGCAUUUAAUUAAAUUUUAAAAAAAUUUAAAAUAUUUAAAAAGUAUUUUUUAUAAAAAAAUUAAAAAUCAUUAAAAUUUUUAAAACUUAAAAUAAUUAAUUGAAUACUAGUGUGUCAUCCACGUGAUGCUCUACAUGUAUGUAAUGUUAACAAAAUAAAAAAAAUAUUAAUUUUUUAUCUAUUUUAAAGUGAUUUAAUAAAAAAAUAUAAAUUUAAAGACUAAAAAAUAUCAAAAACUAAAAUAACCUUUUUAUAAAAUUAGAGGGUAAAUAAAUAUUAUACCUAAAUUGAUUUACCACAAAAGAGGUGCAACGCUGCAAAUCAAUGCAACUUAGUUUCACGUGAGUGCUGGGCACGCGGACAUCCUUCUAUUUCACGUGACUUUCCCUCCACGCUGGCAUCUGUUCCCCCCUGUCUUCUCCCAAUGUUCCUUCAUAUUAAAAACAUAAUAAAAAAGUAAAUAAUAUAAAAUAAAUAAAUCAAACAGAAAUCCAAAGAUUGUUUAGAUAGCAAAAAAAAAAAAAAAAAACGAAAAGGAAAAAGCAAUGGGAGGUGGUGGUGGUGGUGAGAUAGCAGCGGAGACAAGGAAGAAGAGGAAGAAGGGAAGGCCCUCUCUCUUAGAACUUCAAAAACGCUCUCUCAAACAACAACAACUGCAGGAGCCGCAGCAACCGCAAUUGCUUCUUCAAAAAACCCCUAAUUCUUCUAUCAAUUCGAACCGCCGAUCCACUCGCCGCCACCCAAAUCUCAACGGUGGGUCCCCAGUUUCCGGAUCGAUUUCCGGAGGAGAAGACGACGACGACGACGACCGCCUACAGAAGAAGCAUAAACCAUUGCUUGGUUUCAAUUCUUCUCGUACUGAUCAGCAUUAUCCGAUUCCUUCGGCGCUCAAUUCGGCCUCCUAUGGGUCCGAUUCGAAUGCGGAUGGUGACAAUCCCGACGCGUCACUCAAACGUCGCAAGUUUACCGCCGCCAAGCCUGGAUCUGAUCAAAUGGUGAUAAAUCAUACAUUAAUAUAUAGAUUUCGCGGGUUUUUUAAAGUCCUGGUUUUGAAACAGAAUCAAGAAAUUGAUUUUCCUACUUUAUUUGGAUAUUUUAUUUUAGGGUUUUAUUUUGGGAAUCGAAAAUAGCUUCUCAUGCGCCGAAAUUUUAUAAUUGCAACAGAGAUGAACGAAUGAGUUUGACUAAGUCAUGUACCUUUUUUUAUUGGAUAUUGUUUCAACUUUUUGAUUUUCGGCUAAACUUCAAGUUGUUUUGAACAUAGUUUGUCUUCCUUUUCUUUCCCGAUUUACGAAUUUUCCAUUAUUAUUUUAUUAUUUCUUGUCUUGGAUUUAAUCCUUCCUUUAUUUUUGUGCAAAAUAAUAGAUGCACAGACCAUCAUGUCUGUAAAGCUUCAGUUUGUCUUUUCUUUUCUUUAAUAAUAAUACUUCAAAGUUUUUGUUUUUUUUUGUUUUUGGUACUUGCUUUGCAUUGUUGUAGCUUUUUACUGUAACUUUCCUCAGUGAUUCUUCAAUAAUCAACGCAAGUAUCUCUUUUAAUAGUUUUUUUUUCAUUUAAUUUGGGAGUUAAAUAAAUAUAUGUAUUGACACGAGAGUUUAUCUUACUUACAGGGAGAAAAGUUAUCGAAAGUGACGGACACUCUUCAUGGUAUAAGUCUAUCUCGGUUUUCAUGAAAAAAAGGCAUUUCUGGGAAUUCUUAGAAAAAAAGAAGUGUUGGGCUUUGUUAACUAUAUUAAUUUUAUUUCAUUUAUAUGUGGACAGGGUCACCGGUGGAGUCUGGCCCCACCCCCACGACGCCUUUGCCAGACAAAAAGUUGUUGGUGUUCAUUCUUGACAGGCUUCAAAAGUAUUUGUUAUUUUUGGCUCAUUUGAUUUUUUUUUUCUUAGUUUAUCUUCCGUUUGACGGGUUUUUAUCCUUUUUACUUAAUCUACUUCCAGGAAAGAUACUUAUGGGGUAUUCUCUGAGCCAGUAGAUCCUGAAGAGGUGCAUUUUGUUUUUCAUUCUUGCAUAAAUCUAGAUUACUGAAAAGUGAAAUCACGGUUCCUGAUAUAAUGUUGGAUUGGUCUUGAUACAGCUUCCAGAUUACCAUGAUAUUAUUGCACACCCAAUGGACUUUUCGACAGUCAGGAAAAAACUUGAUGAGGGAGCUUAUAUUACCUUAGAACAAUUUGAGGUUUGUUUUGCAAGCAUUCUCUUUGCUAAUGUGGAUAAAAUGUUCGUCUAUCCGUCUUCCUCCUGACAUAGUGGAGAGGGAAAGCCAACUAAGUUGUUUGAUUGCAUUACUGUCAAUGGUGAUUAAGUUUCUGAUGUUAUUUUCUGGAUUUCUCUGGUUGAUGUGUGUUUUUGUAGCAAUUGUAUAUGGCAUAUGGCAAGUCAAGUGCGUGUUGUCAGUCAAGCAAGUCCUUGAAGAAUACUGGAGGCAUGCUAUGCCUUUUGAGAUUACUGUAGUAACGAUGUUGGCUAUGAUGUUUAAGUACUUCAUUAAGUUCACUUGUUUGGGAUAGCAUUUUGGCCUCUUAUGCCUGGAAGAUUCUUUAAUUUGGUUUGAGAAGAUAAUUACUUGCCUUUGUUUUUUACUGUUCAUAUGAUAUAUAAUUUAUUUGGUACUGCCAAUGGUUUGCCUAUGAUUUGUGGAAUUUGAUUGCAAAACUUGUUUUGUUUAGCAUAGGAUCUUACUGUGUUACUCUUUCCUAGCAGAUAACUAUAUAUGCUGUGAGUUGCUUUUUGUGGUUAACUGAGAAGAUGAAAAUCCUAAUGAAAUGAUUUUCAUGUCAGUAUAAAUGCCCUGGACCAGUGGGAUAGUCUUUAGAUUCUACAAACAUGUAGUAAUCAAAACUUAGAUUUAGGGGAUAUAGUUUUUCUGGAAUGAUACUUGAUGUAUAACUGAAAAUUUGUGAGUUUGAUUCAUGCAGAUUGAUGUUUUCCUAAUAUGCUCGAAUGCAAUGCAGUAUAAUGCACCAGAUACAAUUUACUUUCGACAGGUUUGUCUAGGUCUCAAUUGUAUUAAUUCCUUUGUCAUGAUACUGUGGUCUCUGUUAUUUUAAACGUCUGGAUUGGAUGGUUAGGCACGAUCAAUGCAGGAGCUGGCUAGAAAGGACUUUGAGAAUUUGAGGCAAGAUAGUGAUGAAGGUGAACCACAAGUGAAAGUUGUGAGGAGAGGAAGGCCACCUGGAAAGAGCCUCAAAAAGUCAUUGGUUUCAUCGUCAUCUAUUGACCAUGUUGGUUCUGAGUACUCCUCAGAUGCAACACUAGCUGCUGGACGAGAUGCUUCUAGCCUUUCAAACACUUACAAUUUGAGGAAAGCACCUAAUUCCCUCAAACUACGGCCUGCUGAUACAUUUAUCAGGCCCUCCUGGGGUUCUCCUAGCAAAGAGAAUCAUGCCAUUUGUUCAUCUGAAUGGGAGAAUGAAUUUCCAGGUUUGGUAUUUAUCUGACUUUAUAUACAUAUCCUUAAGUGUUUAGCUUUUUUAAUGUAAAAUGUUAUUUACUACAUAUUUUCUGUAUUUCAUAUUGAGCUAUUUUUCUCUCAUUUUGUAGCUUCUGUUGUGAGGGCUGUGAUGAAGUAUGGGAUGAAACAUUUUGCAGUAGAUGAGAACAGGCGUGACACCUACAACCACUCAUCAACUUCUGGACAUGAGCAACAUACCUUUUCCACCUUGGAUGGAGAAUUGAAGCAACUAAUUCCGGUGUGUUUUAUGUUUGUAUAAUGGCAAUAACAGUUAUUAAUGCAUUAGUUAGAAGAUUAUUGUAUGAGCUGUAUAGCUAGAAUGUCUGAUCUACCUUCGACUCAUUGAGCGCAGGUAAGGAAUCCUAAACUUUUUGUUUAUUAAUAAAUUGUAUACAAAAGUUGUGGUGCAGGUGGGUUUGCCCUGGUAAUUUGAUAUGUUUAUAUAUCUAGCGAAAAGGGUGUUUGAAUAUUCUGACAACUAGUGUUUAUGAGGGAACAAUACAAAACUAUCCAGAUCAGUGGCAGAAUAGAAUGCUC
rnacentral:lncRNA from 1 species